rnacentral:rRNA from 1 species
GUGCAGCAGUCGAGAAAACUCCGCAAUGCACGAAAGUGUGACGGGGCUACCCCGAGUGCCAUCCGCUGAGGAUGGCUUUUCUUUGGUAUAACUCGCCGAGGGAAUAAGGAGAGGGCAAGACUGGUGUCAGCCGCCGCGGUAAUACCAGCUCUCCGAGUGGUAGGGAUGAUUAUUGGGCUUAAAGCGUCCGUAGCCGGCUUAGCAAGUCUCCUGUUAAAUUCAGCGACCUAAUCGUUGAGCCGCGGGAGAUACUACUAGGCUAGGAGGCGGGAGAGGUCGACGGUACUUCCGGGGUAGGGGUGAAAUCCUAUAAUCCCGGGAGGACCACCAGUGGCGAAGGCUGUCGACUAGAACGCGCUCGACGGUGAGGGACGAAAGCUGGGGGAGCGAACCGGAUUAGAUACCCGCGUAGUCC